GAGGAAAGCUGGCGGCGUGCCUAAUACAUGCAAGUCGAGCGAACAGACGAGGAGCUUGCUCCUCUGACGUUAGCGGCGGACGGGUGAGUAACACGUGGAUAACCUACCUAUAAGACUGGGAUAACUUCGGGAAACCGGAGCUAAUACCGGAUAAUAUAUUGAACCGCAUGGUUCAAUAGUGAAAGACGGUUUUGCUGUCACUUAUAGAUGGAUCCGCGCCGCAUUAGCUAGUUGGUAAGGUAACGGCUUACCAAGGCAACGAUGCGUAGCCGACCUGAGAGGGUGAUCGGCCACACUGGAACUGAGACACGGUCCAGACUCCUACGGGAGGCAGCAGUAGGGAAUCUUCCGCAAUGGGCGAAAGCCUGACGGAGCAACGCCGCGUGAAUGAUGAAGGUCUUCGGAUCGUAAAACUCUGUUAUUAGGGAAGAACAAAUGUGUAAGUAACUAUGCACGUCUUGACGGUACCUAAUCAGAAAGCCACGGCUAACUACGUG
rnacentral:rRNA from 1 species